rnacentral:rRNA from 1 species
GAUGAACGCUGGCGGCGUGCCUAAUACAUGCAAGUCGAACGAAACUUCUUUAUCACCGAGUGCUUGCACUCACCGAUAAAGAGUUGAGUGGCGAACGGGUGAGUAACACGUGGGCAACCUGCCCAAAAGAGGGGGAUAACACUUGGAAACAGGUGCUAAUACCGCAUAACCAUAGUUACCGCAUGGUAACUAUGUAAAAGGUGGCUAUACUACCGCUUUUGGAUGGGCCCGCGGGGCAUUAGCUAGUUGGUAGGGUAAAGGCUUACCAAGGCAAUGAUGCGUAGCCGAAGGUAGAGAUGGAUAGGCCACAUUGGAACUGGAACACGGCCAAAGCUACUAAGAGAGGCAGCAGUAGGGAAUCUUCCACAGUGGGCGAAAACCUGGUGGAGCAACGCCGCGUGGGUGAAGAAGGUCUUCGGAUCGUAAAACCCUGUUGUUAGAGAAGAAAGUGCGUGAGAGUAACUGUUCACGUUUCGACGGUAACUAACAAGAAAGCCACUGCUAACUACGUG